rnacentral:rRNA from 1 species
GAAGGCCCUGCUUUUGUGGGGUGCUCGAGUGGCGAACGGGUGAGUAACACGUGAGUAACCUGCCCUUGACUUUGGGAUAACUUCAGGAAACUGGGGCUAAUACCGGAUAGGAGCUCCUGCUGCAUGGUGGGGGUUGGAAAGUUUCGGCGGUUGGGGAUGGACUCGCGGCUUAUCAGCUUGUUGGUGGGGUAGUGGCUUACCAAGGCUUUGACGGGUAGCCGGCCUGAGAGGGUGACCGGCCACAUUGGGACUGAGAUACGGCCCAGACUCCUACGGGAGGCAGCAGUGGGGAAUAUUGCACAAUGGGCGGAAGCCUGAUGCAGCAACGCCGCGUGCGGGAUGACGGCCUUCGGGUUGUAAACCGCUUUCGCCUGUGACGAAGCGUGAGUGACGGUAAUGGGUAAAGAAGCACCGGCUAACUACGUGCCAGCAGCCGCGGUGAUACGUAGGGUGCGAGCGUUGUCCGGAUUUAUUGGGCGUAAAGGGCUCGUAGGUGGUUGAUCGCGUCGGAAGUGUAAUCUUGGGGCUUAACCCUGAGCGUGCUUUCGAUACGGGUUGACUUGAGGAAGGUAGGGGAGAAUGGAAUUCCUGGUGGAGCGGUGGAAUGCGCAGAUAUCAGGAGGAACACCAGUGGCGAAGGCGGUUCU